CAAUCGAACCUGGAGAUAGCUGGUUCUCUCCGAAAUAGCUUUAGGGCUAGCCUCAAGUGAUGAUUAUUGGAGGUAGAGCACUGUUUGGACGAGGGGCCCCUCUCGGGUUACCGAAUUCAGACAAACUCCGAAUGCCAAUUAAUUUAACUUGGGAGUCAGAACAUGGGUGAUAAGGUCCGUGUUCGAAAGGGAAACAGCCCAGACCACCAGCUAAGGUCCCAAAAUAUAUGUUAAGUGGAAAAGGAUGUGGCGUUGCCCAGACAACUAGGAUGUUGGCUUAGAAGCAGCCAUCAUUUAAAGAGUGCGUAAUAGCUCACUAGUCGAGUGACACUGCGCCGAAAAUGUACCGGGGCUAAACAUAUUACCGAAGCUGUGGAUUGUCCUUUGGACAAUGGUAGGAGAGCGUUCUAAGGGCGUUGAAGCAUGAUCGUAAGGACAUGUGGAGCGCUUAGAAGUGAGAAUGCCGGUGUGAGUAGCGAAAGACGGGUGAGAAUCCCGUCCACCGAUUGACUAAGGUUUCCAGAGGAAGGCUCGUCCGCUCUGGGUUAGUCGGGUCCUAAGCUGAGGCCGACAGGCGUAGGCGAUGGAUAACAGGUUGAUAUUCCUGUACCACCUAUAAUCGUUUUAAUCGAUGGGGGGACGCAGUAGGAUAGGCGAAGCGUGCGAUUGGAUUGCACGUCUAAGCAGUAAGGCUGAGUAUUAGGCAAAUCCGGUACUCGUUAAGGCUGAGCUGUGAUGGGGAGAAGACAUUGUGUCUUCGAGUCGUUGAUUUCACACUGCCGAGAAAAGCCUCUAGAUAGAAAAUAGGUGCCCGUACCGCAAACCGACACAGGUAGUCAAGAUGAGAAUUCUAAGGUGAGCGAGCGAACUCUCGUUAAGGAACUCGGCAAAAUGACCCCGUAACUUCGGGAGAAGGGGUGCUCUUUAGGGUUAACGCCCAGAAGAGCCGCAGUGAAUAGGCCCAAGCGACUGUUUAUCAAAAACACAGGUCUCUGCUAAACCGUAAGGUGAUGUAUAGGGGCUGACGCCUGCCCGGUGCUGGAAGGUUAAGAGGAGUGGUUAGCUUCUGCGAAGCUACGAAUCGAAGCCCCAGUAAACGGCGGCCGUAACUAUAACGGUCCUAAGGUAGCGAAAUUCCUUGUCGGGUAAGUUCCGACCCGCACGAAAGGCGUAACGAUUUGGGCACUGUCUCAACGAGAGACUCGGUGAAAUCAUAGUACCUGUGAAGAUGCAGGUUACCCGCGACAGGACGGAAAGACCCCGUGGAGCUUUACUGUAGCCUGAUAUUGAAAUUCGGCACAGCUUGUACAGGAUAGGUAGGAGCCUUUGAAACGUGAGCGCUAGCUUACGUGGAGGCGCUGGUGGGAUACUACCCUAGCUGUGUUGGCUUUCUAACCCGCACCACUUAUCGUGGUGGGAGACAGUGUCAGGCGGGCAGUUUGACUGGGGCGGUCGCCUCCUAAAAGGUAACGGAGGCGCUCAAAGGUUCCCUCAGAAUGGUUGGAAAUCAUUCAUAGAGUGUAAAGGCAUAAGGGAGCUUGACUGCGAGACCUACAAGUCGAGCAGGGUCGAAAGACGGACUUAGUGAUCCGGUGGUUCCGCAUGGAAGGGCCAUCGCUCAACGGAUAAAAGCUACCCCGGGGAUAACAGGCUUAUCUCCCCCAAGAGUUCACAUCGACGGGGAGGUUUGGCACCUCGAUGUCGGCUCAUCGCAUCCUGGGGCUGUAGUCGGUCCCAAGGGUUGGGCUGUUCGCCCAUUAAAGCGGUACGCGAGCUGGGUUCAGAACGUCGUGAGACAGUUCGGUCCCUAUCCGUCGUGGGCGUAGGAAAUUUGAGAGGAGCUGUCCUUAGUACGAGAGGACCGGGAUGGACAUACCUCUGGUGUACCAGUUGUCGUGCCAACGGCAUAGCUGGGUAGCUAUGUGUGGACGGGAUAAGUGCUGAAAGCAUCUAAGCAUGAAGCCCCCCUCAAGAUGAGAUUUCCCAACUUCGGUUAUAAGAUCCCUCAAAGAUGAUGAGGUUAAUAGGUUCGAGGUGGAAGCAUGGUGACAUGUGGAGCUGACGAAUACUAAUCGAUCGAAGACUUAAUCAAAA
rnacentral:rRNA from 1 species